CAAGUCCUCUGCAGUGAAGGAUUAGCGAACCACACUGGCCCCGAGUCAUGCGCAGGCGUCCGUGAGGGCGGCGGCGAAGCGUUGACAGGGGAGUGCAUAGGCCAGCCAUGGAGCCGCGAAAUGGUCUUUUCCCGGGUGCCGACGCCGUACGAAAGUCGGAAGGCAACACAGAUGGGCGCGUCAAUCGCGAGUGCCCGGCUGACCCGGUGCGGUCAGAGACCC
rfam:Alphaproteobacteria bacterium BRH_c36 BRHa_1002256, whole genome shotgun sequence.